ensembl:lncRNA
AAAAAGAGGGAGGAACCAAAAAGAUCUGAUUAAAAGUUGAAAUCGAAAUAAAUAUUUCUGAACUCAAAUUGCCUAGGUUUCCAAAAUAGUCAGUAAAGGAUCUGACGGAACCUGAAUUAUGUGAGUGGAUUCUGAGGUUUUAUGGGUCUCGUCACAUCAUGAAAGUCUGGAAUGUGUGUCACAAAUGGGAAUUUGCUCUGUAGGUUUUGCUCCUCUUCCCCUAGCUUAGCCUGAUUUGGCUUCAAUGCAGAGUGGGGAGGAUACUUGGCCCUCUGUGGUGUGUGAAUUGAGCUCCACCCCCUGGCAGACAGACCUUCCUUUCACUCCAGGGGAGGACCCCUCCGGCCCCAGCACUCCCCACAUCCAGGUCAUUUCCCACCCACUGCCUCUCCCCUCUUACACACUGUGAGCAGAGACACACAGUGGUUGGACUCUGGCCUCUCCCCACUCCAAAUCACAUUUCCUUACAGCCAAGCUUUUUACUCCCAACUAAGCAGUGAUGUACUAGGAAACACAGAACUGGAAACUGAGAAGCAUGCAUCUUCCGCAGCAGCAGUUUUGACUGAACAAAUGUUUUGGAGUCAGGGCAUGAUGUUAUUUUCGGGUAAAACAAACACUUACAUUAUGAAAUAGAAUGUUCAUAUACAUAAACUGUAAAGAUAAAACGGGAGACUUCGCAGAGGACUUUUGUUUGCAAGUGGGCUGUGCGUUCCCCCUCCUCUGCCGUCGGUGGUAUUUGGGUGUUCGCUUCUGAGAAGUACAAUUGGAACUGCAUACAUCCAAGAGCCUUGGGGCUUCUGCUGAGUCGGGACCCAGACUCCUAGUGCUUCUGAGGCAGAACCACAGGGGCCUGCAUCGCGGGAUCUUCCUCUUUUCCUGCCUGCCUGCCUGUGACCUGUACACCUGUCAACAAAGCUUUAGGGCCAACUGAUGUGUGUAUGCAGAGUGGUUUUGAGAUAGAAAUAGUGCUUACUGUCGGAAUCCUGUUUAUAUCACUGUUCAGUCCUGUGCAUGCUAUGAAAUGACUAUUUCUUUGAUGCCAGGAAGCUACCAGGCAUAUACGCUUCUCAGUUAAGAGUACCCCAGCUUACUAACUCAUGAGGGACACUGGGGUCUGAGAGUAGUUUUGGCUGUUCUGUUUUUUUUUAAAUUUUGUAUCUUAAACUGGUGGCCAACAAAUGGCUGAGACAUGUUUGGUGCUUUACCUUUCUGCCCACAAAAAACUGGAGAUUUUGGCAGACCACUAAUUACAUCCCCCAGGCACAUCCAAUGCAACUACCUUUAAAGGAAGACCAGUGGCCAUUCUCAAAAAGAGUUUGAAAAAUCGAAAGAUUAAGAAGACUGUAGGAUUUGGAAGCUUGUGUUGUCUUUCCCCAGUAACCAUUGUUUAAUCUCCAAGUAGUAGCCUUAUCUUAGCGAUCGACAGCUUAUUGGCUCCUCCAUAACUGAUCAUAGCUAUUACUUUAAAUCAGUAUUUGGGAAACCCAGGCAUUUAUGCAAUGGAUAUGAAUGGAAAUAUAAAAAUACAUACCAGCCUGUCUCAAUAAAUUAUCAUAUCUCUAUAAUCCUCGAGGAAAGCACUUUGGCUUUUACCUAGAAAGGAUUUCAGAUCUGCUUUAUGGGCUCCCGCUGUCUUCAGUACCUGAUAAAACUUUAACCAGGGAAGCAUUAAACAUGGCACAGCAGCUUCUGCCCAGGCUCCCGAGUUCCUGCUGGCAGCAUCUAUCAACACAAGAGCUAGGAUGCUGCCUGCAGUGGCACCAGCUUCCCCAAAGCUGGAGCAGGCUGCUUGGCCUUAAGCCCCAGCAUGAGGAGGCCUCCCUCCUACCAGGUCAGUAGAGUUGCUCCAAAUUGUGUCCUGCCUGGCUGCAGGGUUUGCAGACAUCCCUAGGGAGAUGUCAGCAAGGGAGACAGGUAAUGACUGUCUUCAGAAUGAACUGGGUCCUCACAGCAAUCCUUGGAUGCCUUCCAAAGGUUGGAUAUCCGAGGCUACAAGGAGGUCUGACCUUUGAUUUGGUGACAUUACAUCCAGGGCAAUUCCAAGAAGUACCUGGAGUCUCUGCUCUGACAGCCCAAAUAGGGAAAUGAUUUUAAAUACUUAGGACCCUGCACCAAGGCCCCAUUUCUCAGAUGAUAAUACAGAUUUGUAGGUAAGAGUUAUUUGUCUUGAGUUACGCAGCUAGAAAGUAUGGGAGCCAGAUUUUUGUACCUGGCUCUUCCUAACUCUGCUGCUGCUGCUGCUGCUACUAAGUCGCUUCAGCUGUGUAUGACUUUGGGUGACCCCGUAGAUGCCAGCCCACCAGGCUCUGCUGUCCCUGGGAUUCCCCAGGCAAGAAUACUGGAGUGGGUUGCCAUUUCCUUCUCCCUUCCUAACUCUUAUAUAUCCCUAAAAUACAGAAAAGGCUGUGGGUUCCCCUGCUACAGUCUGACCAUUCCACUCUAAGGAUUCUUUUUCACAGUGACAUUUCAUGGCAGUAGUUUGGGCCCAGAAAUGGCAUCAGGGUAGCCUUAUUCUUCCAGUUUAGCAGAUACGUUAAGUACAUGUUGCUGACUUGAGCCUGCCCCCAGGAAUGGGAGAAGGCCUUUGCUCUUCGGUGCCAUCCCUCAUAAAGAAGGGGGAGUUGGAGCCAUCUAGGCCAGUUACUGGGUUUUCCCAGUGGCUCAGCUGGUAAAGCACCUGCCUGCCAAGGCAGUAGAUUCAAGAGACACAGCUUCGAUCCCUGGGUGGAAAAGAUCUGGAGAAGGAAAUAGCAACCCACGCUAGUAUUCUUACCUGGAGAAUGGGCAGAAGAGUCUGGCGGGCUACAGUCCAGGCUCAGAGUCAGAUACUACUGAACAUGCACACAGCCCAUAAAUAAAGUGUUUCUAGGCCUUUAGGAGUGUGGAACGUCUCAGAAAUAGUGAAAGUGAGCAGUGUUCCGCUCUCUAUUUGAAAAUGCCUGCUGCUGCAAAGGAAAUCAUAUUCUAGUAAACCUAGCUCAUCUGUGCCCUGUGAGGAUGCAGCAAUUCAAAGUCCAGUGAAUAUGGACGUCCCUGCAAAUACCUGAUGUGUAUAUGUACACAUACACACACACUCAGUUUAACAACCAAGGGAGCUGCAGAGCAGUCCCCUCAUGAUCUUACAUACCACGCAGAGGUUCCUGCCGGCUCUGAUCACAAGCGUCACCAGGUAAUGGAGCUGUGGUGCUUGCUCAAGAGAUGCUUAUAGGAAGAGCUGUGCCUCAGCAAAGGUUGUCAGCUCCUAAAGCUAAGCCAAGGUGACAGCCCUGAAGGAAUUUACACUCCAGCCCUACUCCAGGAGGUCUAAUGAUACGGGAAAUUUGGAUACCCAGCCAUUUCGGUGACCUGGGAGUCUGACCACUGCAGUCAGGCCUGAGGGCAUGGCUGAAGAAUUCAUAACUGGUAAGAGUGGUAGGGCUUAGGAAGCUCUUUCCUCCACCUAGACAAUAUUCUCUUGCCCGUACCUUGGCACACUCACAUAAUAGCUGUUCAACACAUGCUUUUCCAUAAGAAAAUCAGUUGCUUGUUUACUAUGUGCCUAGCACAUCUAAAAUCUUAUGAUUAAAAAAACAAAUCGAUCUCAUUAUGAGUGGGCUCAGCCUAGCCCUGAGAAAAACAAACAAACAAAAAAAGGCCUAUAGAGGAGACUUUAGAUCUCAUUAAUACUGCCUUACCCAACAGUGUGUUGGAAGUCCCACGCCAGCUCAUUCCAAGAGCUAUAAGGCCCGAGAACACACCAGAAACAGCAGAACCGGUGCCAGAGCAGGAAAAUAAAAAUAAAUUAAUUACAACACUUGUGGUAUACUGGUACAAAAAUACCACAGGGCCAGGUCAUAUCAUGCUGGGCUUGGUAUGACCUUGAGGGGACAGUAGAUUUAUCCUUCAUGGGAGUAUCAGCGGCCAGUCUUUCUCCAGUGACCGGUCUUGCACCCACUUCGUGGAUGGGGAGAACCAACGAAUCCAUCGUCCUCUGCCUGUUUUCCUGUACACUGCCACAUUCCCUCCUGAGUCAUCUUCCCCUUUCACCCUUUACAUUAAACAAGGGAACACUCAAUCUUUCAAGGGAAUUAUACGUUUGAGUUAAUGUUGCAGUAUAUCAUUUUCUUGCUGUAAAUUAUCUUGUGAGAGAGAUUUACCGCUAUCCCAGGAUGUUUGGACUCGGUGCCCCUGUGCAUUUGGAAAUCAA